UUUGCAAAGGUAUAUCCUCAGCUAAUUGAAGUAGAAGAAUUAUGAAAAUAUGUUUCCUAGGUUGUGGGAUUUCCAAGAGGUCCAGAGAGUCAGGACUGGGAGCCAUGCAGCCAGGAACCAUGCUCGUACCACACCGUGGGGUUGCUACAGUGAAGAGUCCACUAUGUGUCACAACACAGAUGACCACUGAUGCUGGGCAUGGGAUUCCAGAACCUCCACCACUGCCUGCUCCAAACUGCAUACGUCUACCUUCAACCUCAUGAAAAGUAUGAAGGCCUCUGGUUCUAUUCAGCUGCCUCCUCUUUCGGCUACGCUGCCUCUCCAGGCGGGAGGACUUGGGGAUCUGCAGAGAAGGGAGCCUUUGCAGGUGUAGUGCUGAAGACCCGUUUACCAGGUAGGUGUCCUGUCUUCCUGACUUCCAGUGUGGCCCGUCUCCUCCUUCAGUCUCUCUGUGAGGUC
rnacentral:lncRNA from 1 species